rnacentral:rRNA from 1 species
GAUGAACGCUAGCGGGAGGCCUAACACAUGCAAGCCGAGCGGUAUUGUUUCUUCGGAAAUGCGAGAGCGGCGUACGGGUGCGUAACACGUGUGCAACCUGCCUUUAUCUGGGGGAUAGCCUUUCGAAAGGAAGAUUAAUACUCCAUAAUAUAUUGAACGGCAUCGUUUAAUAUUGAAAGCUCCGGCGGAUAGAGAUGGGCACGCGCAAGAUUAGCUAGUUGGUGAGGUAACGGCUCACCAAGGCGAUGAUCUUUAGGGGGCCUGAGAGGGUGAUCCCCCACACUGGUACUGAGACACGGACCAGACUCCUACGGGAGGCAGCAGUGAGGAAUAUUGGUCAAUGGGUGCAAGCCUGAACCAGCCAUCCCGUGUGAAGGACGACUGCCCUAUGGGUUGUAAACUUCUUUUGGAUAGGGAUAAACCUACCCUCGAGAGGGUAGCUGAAGGUACUAUACGAAUAAGCACCGGCUAACUCCGUG